rnacentral:ncRNA from 1 species
UUUAUUUUGGUUUCAAUUAAUUUUAAUUAAAUAAAAUUUUAUUUUGGUUUUAAAAUUAAUGAUUAAUUUGUGUUAGAUAAAAGAUCUGGGGGGGGCUAGUUUAAUUUUUAGUGGAUAUAUUUUUUGUUCAAUGGGGGUUGAAUAAAGGGGGGUAUAUUUUAGGGGUUAAAUAUGUGCCAGCAUCUGCGGUUAUACAUAAUCUUGGAAUUAAUUUUUUUUAUUUUAUAUAAGUUGGGUUAGUUAAAUUUAAUAGUAUUUAAGUUUGGGUGAAAUUAAUUUCAUAUUUAGGUUUUUUUUAAUAAUAUGUUUAUUUAUAUAGUGGGAACAGGAUUAGAUACCCUAUUACUUAAAUUUUUAGUUAAUUAGAUUAGAAAGUUAAAAAAUUUGGCAGUGUUUUAUUCUUUUUAGGGGAACUUGUAUCUUUAUUCGAUAGUCCUCGUUUUAACUUACUUUAUUUAUUUCUUGUAUAUCGUUGUUUAGAUGAUUAAUGAAUUAAUUGUUUUUAUUAAGAAAAAUUUAAUUUCAAAUCAAGGUGUAGUUUUUUGAAGGGUUUAUAUUAGUUACAAUAAAAAUUUUUAUAUGGAUUAUAAAUUUGAAGUUUUAUUAUGAAGGUGAAUUUAAUAGUAAAUUAAAGAUAAGUAAGUUUUUUUGAAUGAGCUCUAAGGUGUGUACAUAUUGCCCGUCAUUUUCAAAUUAAAAAUUUUUGGAACAAGUCGUAACAUAGUUGGUGUAUUGGAAAUUGUAUCUUGAUAA